rnacentral:rRNA from 1 species
AUGUCCUAUCGUAUCUGCCAUCCUACCUACGCUAGACGUGUAGCAUGUACUCGCCUACCCCCCGUCCACUACCCCGUGACCAGCCCCCACCCCCGACCAUCCCCAUCCGCGAUUCAAAAUUCGAAUCGAAGCAGGCAGACGCAGCUGCAUCGAGCGGACGAACCACGGCCUCCCCAUCCACGCGCCUGGAUCCCUAGGUUUCUUCACGAUUCAACGAUGAAUCUCGGUGCAGAGUCAUUCACGGAUCUCCUCUUCAGAUUUUGUUCCCAGCCGGCCGCAACAGAGGGCGUCCCAGAUCUGGGAUUGCUAGAGGAGGAGGAGGAGGAGGAGGAGGAGGAGGAGGAGGAGGAGGAGCGCAUCCAUCCUAAUUUCCAGAAUCAUUCUCCUUCUUCAAGCCAAGAUGGAGAGAAAUCUGGUGCCACAGAUUCAGGAACUCCUGAAGAUCAGGAGGCUAUGCCAGAUUUCUCUAACGUCCCAGAUAUUGACGAUGCAGAAGAGACCCAGCCUGAAUCGCAUCCGAUUUCAGUUCCGUGGACUCAAAGGUACUAG